UCAGCAGCCCGCGGUAAUUCCAGCUCCAAUAGCGUAUAUUAAAGUUGUUGCAGUUAAAAAGCUCGUAGUUGAACCUUGGGUCUGGCUGGCCGGUCCGCCUCACCGCGAGAACUGGUCCGGCUGGACCUUUCCUUCUGGGGAACCUCAUGGCCUUCACUGGCUGUGGGGGGAACCAGGACUUUUACUGUGAAAAAAUUAGAGUGUUCAAAGCAGGCCUUUGCUCGAAUACAUUAGCAUGGAAUAAUAGAAUAGGACGUGCGGUUCUAUUUUGUUGGUUUCUAGGACCGCCGUAAUGAUUAAUAGGGAUAGUCGGGGGCGUCAGUAUUCAGCUGUCAGAGGUGAAAUUCUUGGAUUUGCUGAAGACUAACUACUGCGAAAGCAUUCGCCAAGGAUGUUUUCAUUAAUCAGGGAACGAAAGUUAGGGGAUCGAAGACGAUCAGAUACCGUCGUAGUCUUAACCAUAAACUAUGCCGACUAGGGAUCGGACGGGAUUCUAUGAUGACCCGUUCGGCACCUUACGAGAAAUCAAAGUUUUUGGGUUCUGGGGGGAGUAUGGUCGCAAGGCUGAAACUUAAAGAAAUUGACGGAAGGGCACCACAAGGCGUGGAGCCUGCGGCUUAAUUUGACUCAAACACGGGA
rnacentral:rRNA from 1 species